UGUAAAGUUUUCCGAUCAUUCCAUUUGAAAUCUUGAGUGAUUCUCCCUACACCUCCCUCUUUUCUCCCUGUACCUCCCAAAUUACCCUUUUAUCCCUAUUUAAUUUAAGUCAAACCUCAUUUAAUGAUUACUGUUUCCUAACCAUUAUUCCUAACCAUUAACACCCAACAACCCAACAACUUAACUUUGAUUAAUAAAUCCUAACAGUGCACCUCCCUCACCUCAUUGCUACUGUUCAUUAUUAUAAACCCUAACAGUGCUCACCUCUUUGCUGUUGAUUUUCUAAAGCCUAAUCAGUAGUGUUGAUUCGUGCAAGUGCUGGUGGGAUAUUGCUGGUGGUGUGGAGUAGAUAAAGGUCGAGGAAGAAGAUAAAGCGCGGAGGAAGAAGACCAGCGAAAGAAAGCGAAAGAGAGGUUAGUCUCAAAACGCCAUAACCGCAGUUCGAUCAGCGGUUAUGGCCUGCCGCCUUUCGAAAGGCGUUUCCAUAAAGCCGCAGCACGAUCUGCGGCGACUAGCAACCGCAGUAUGAACUGCGGUUAUUAUGAACUGCAGCCGCACUCUGAGUUGCGGCGCUGCCAACCGCACUCUGAGUUGCGGCUUGUGCCAACUUGCG
rnacentral:lncRNA from 1 species